AGAGUUUGAUCCUGGCUCAGGAUGAACGCUGGCGGCGUGCCUAACACAUGCAAGUCGAGCGAUCUCUUCGGAGAGAGCGGCGGACGGGUGAGUAACGCGUGGGUAACCUGCCCUGUACACACGGAUAACAUACCGAAAGGUAUACUAAUACGGGAUAACAUACGAAAGUCGCAUGGCUUUUGUAUCAAAGCUCCGGCGGUACAGGAUGGACCCGCGUCUGAUUAGCUAGUUGGUAAGGUAAUGGCUUACCAAGGCAACGAUCAGUAGCCGACCUGAGAGGGUGAUCGGCCACACUGGAACUGAGACACGGUCCAGACUCCUACGGGAGGCAGCAGUGGGGAAUAUUGCACAAUGGGCGAAAGCCUGAUGCAGCAACGCCGCGUGAGCGAUGAAGGCCUUCGGGUCGUAAAGCUCUGUCCUCAAGGAAGAUAAUGACGGUACUUGAGGAGGAAGCCCCGGCUAACUACGUGCCAGCAGCCGCGGUAAUACGUAGGGGGCUAGCGUUAUCCGGAAUUACUGGGCGUAAAGGGUGCGUAGGUGGUUUUUUAAGUCAGAAGUGAAAGGCUACGGCUCAACCGUAGUAAGCUUUUGAAACUAGAGAACUUGAGUGCAGGAGAGGAGAGUAGAAUUCCUAGUGUAGCGGUGAAAUGCGUAGAUAUUAGGAGGAAUACCAGUAGCGAAGGCGGCUCUCUGGACUGUAACUGACACUGAGGCACGAAAGCGUGGGGAGCAAACAGGAUUAGAUACCCUGGUAGUCCACGCCGUAAACGAUGAGUACUAGGUGUCGGGGGUUUCCGCCCUUCAGUGCUGCAGCAAACGCAUUAAGCACUCCGCCUGGGGAGUACGACCGCAAGGUUGAAACUCAAAGGAAUUGACGGGGGCCCGCACAAGCGGUGGAGCAUGUGGUUUAAUUCGAAGCAACGCGAAGAACCUUACCAGGUCUUGACAUCCUUUGACCACUCUAGAGAUAGAGUUUUCCCUUCGGGGACAAAGUGACAGGUGGUGCAUGGUUGUCGUCAGCUCGUGUCGUGAGAUGUUGGGUUAAGUCCCGCAACGAGCGCAACCCUUAUUGUUAGUUGCCAUCAUUUAGUUGGGCACUCUAGCGAGACUGCCGGUGACAAACCGGAGGAAGGUGGGGAUGACGUCAAAUCAUCAUGCCCCUUAUGACCUGGGCUACACACGUGCUACAAUGGGAAGUACAACGAGUCGCUAGACCGCGAGGUCAUGCAAAUCUCUUAAAGCUUCUCUCAGUUCGGAUUGCAGGCUGCAACUCGCCUGCAUGAAGCCGGAAUCGCUAGUAAUCGCGGAUCAGCACGCCGCGGUGAAUACGUUCCCGGGCCUUGCACUCACCGCCCGUCA
rnacentral:rRNA from 1 species